rnacentral:rRNA from 1 species
CCUACGGGAGGCAGCAGUGAUGAAUAUUGGUCAAUGGGCGGAAGCCUGAACCAGCCAAGUAGCGUGCAGGAUGACGGCCCUACGGGUUGUAAACUGCUUUUAUACGUGAAUAACGCGCCUUACGUGUAGGGCUUUGCAUGUACCGUAUGACUAAGGCCCGGCUAAUUCCGUGCCAGCAGCCGCGGUAAGACGGAAGGUCCGGGCGUUAUCCGGAUUUAUUGGGUUUAAAGGGAGCGUAGGCCGCAUGUCAAGCGUGCUGUGAAAUGUCCGGGCUCAACCCCGUCGUGCCGUUGAAACUGAUGUUCUGGAGGGGGCGAGAAGUAUGCGGAAGUCGUCGUGUAGCGGUGAAAUGCUUAGAUAUGACGAAGAACCCCGAUUGCGAAGGCAGCUUGCUGCAGCGGAACUGACGCUGAUGCUCGAAAGCGCGGGUAUCGAACAGGAUUAGAUACCCGAGUAGUC